CGAACAACUUAAACAUUGCCUUCCAAUAAUUUUGAAAACAAAGAAAGGCAACUUACCCAAAAUAACCAAAUCCAAAUUAGCAAACUAUAAUUAUAUUUCAAAGAGAAAAAGAAAAAAAAAUCCUAACUCUCUGUCUCUCUCUGCUUUUAUUUUCUCCUCGAUUUUUAUUUUCAAAGUAUUUUGAAAAGGAAAAAAAAAUUGAAUAGAAAUUAAAUCGGAGCGGCCAUUCUAUCAAAUUUUAAUCACUGUUUCUGAUUUUAAAUAAUUUUGUUUCUGUUUCAGAUCUGAUCGCAGAUCUUGAAUCUCCGACGUAUCUCUUCAUUUUUUUUUCGUAUUUUUCUCUGGAUUAAGAGAAUUGUACGGACUAUUGGAAGUCGAAUUUCCGAAGAAAUUCAUUUUCAUGUUCUUCUUCGAAUUCGGAUUUUCUCCGCCCUGUUGGUAAAUAUAGAUCUUAAAAGUUGGCUCCUCAAAGGCGAUCGCAGCGCCACAUGGGUGGCCAGAUGCAGCAAAGCAAUGCUGCAGCGGCGGCGCUUUACGAUCACGCCGGCGGAGGUGGCGGUGGGUCCUUGCACAAUGCGGGUCCUGCCGGCGGCGAUGCUGGUGAUGCCGUUAUGGCGCGGUGGUUGCAGUCUGCUGGAUUGCAACAUCUGGCCUCUCCGUUGGCAUCUAGCGGCAUCGACCAACGCCUCCUUCCCAAUCUCCUCAUGCAGGGUUACGGAGCUCAAUCUGCAGAAGAGAAGCAGAGGCUUUUUAAAUUAAUGAGGAACCUCAAUUUUAGUGGAGAACCUGGGUCAGAGCCGUAUACACCAACUGCCCAAAGUUUGGGAGGGCCGGGUACAUCUGAUGGUUUUUAUUCUCCAGAGUUUAGGGGUGAUUUUGGAGCUGGGCUUCUUGAUCUCCAUGCUAUGGAUGAUACAGAGCUUCUUUCCGAGCAUGUUAUCUCAGAACCUUUUGAGCCAUCACCAUUCAUGCCUAGUUUGAAUAAAGAAUUUGAAGAUGAACUUAAUGUAACAACUAAUCGGCAGCAAAAGGAGAUAAGUGAUGCAGAUUCCUCAGCUUCAUUAAUUUCUGCCAAUGAAAAAGAGAUGAGUGCAAGGGAAAAUAAUGUUGCUAAGAUUAAAGUUGUGGUCCGCAAAAGACCAUUAAACAAGAAGGAGAUUUCUCGGAAGGAGGAUGAUAUAGUAACUGUCAGUGAGAAUGCUUUAACUGUCCAUGAACCAAAGCUAAAGGUGGACUUGACAGCGUAUGUAGAAAAACAUGAGUUCUGUUUUGAUGCUGUUCUGGAUGAGCAUGUUACAAAUGACGAGGUUUAUCGGGAAACUGUUGAGCCGAUUAUUCCCAUCAUCUUUCAGCGAACAAAAGCCACUUGUUUUGCAUAUGGUCAAACAGGUAGUGGUAAGACGUUCACAAUGCAACCGUUGCCUCUCAGAGCAGCAAAAGAUCUUGUUAGAUAUUUGCAUCAGCCAGUUUAUCGGAAUCAGAGAUUUAAAUUGUGGCUUAGCUAUUUUGAGAUAUAUGGUGGAAAACUCUUCGAUCUUCUGAGUGAUAGAAAGAAACUUUGUAUGAGAGAAGAUGGGAGACAACAAGUCUGCAUUGUUGGAUUGCAAGAAUUUGAGGUGUCAGACGUGCAAAUUGUGAAGGAAUACAUUGAGAGAGGAAAUGCCGCUAGAAGCACAGGAUCUACUGGUGCAAAUGAGGAAUCUUCAAGGUCACAUGCAAUUUUACAGCUUGUCAUCAAGAAGCACCCAGAGAUAAAGGAGUCCAAGCGGAGAAAUGAUGGGGAUGAGUCAAAACCUGGGAAGGUUGUAGGAAAGAUUUCUUUUAUUGAUCUUGCUGGCAGCGAAAGAGGUGCUGAUACCACUGACAAUGACCGGCAAACUAGGAUUGAAGGUGCUGAAAUAAAUAAAAGCCUUUUGGCUCUUAAGGAGUGCAUUCGUGCGCUAGACAAUGACCAGAUCCAUAUACCUUUCCGUGGGAGCAAACUCACUGAAGUACUUCGUGACUCCUUUGUUGGCAAUUCAAGGACAGUUAUGAUCUCCUGUAUUUCUCCAAAUGCAGGAUCAUGUGAACAUACUCUCAAUACUCUGAGAUAUGCUGAUAGGGUUAAGAGUCUUUCCAAAAGUGGUAAUCCAAAAAAAGAGCAGGCUGUAAAUUCUUUUCAACCAAGUAAUAAGGAUGCUUCUUCAGCAUCGUCUCUGUUACCUACUGCUGUUGUAGAAGAUAUUUAUGAGCGACAACUGGAAGUAAAAGUUGUUGAUACUGGUCGAAGGGUAGCAGAGAAAGAUGUUUAUACUACAGACUUUGACAAACAGCCCUCUACUUUUUCGUCAGGUUACCCUUUCAAUGGGAGGGAGGAAAGUGGAAAGGCUUCUGGCCCAACGGAUAGGGAGAGAUUUGAAGUGAAUAGUAAUUAUGGUGGUUCUUCGAGCCAAAGAGUUUAUUCAUCAAAUUCUCAAAAUUCAGCUGAUACAGAAGAGAAAGUGCCAAAGGUGUCACCACCUCGUAGAAAAGCAACUAGAGAAGAAAAACUGGAAAAGACAAGGAAUUGGGCAAAGAAAGACGGAGGAGGAUCUGAUUCGUAUGCUUCAAACUCGAGGCAGGUGAAUGCUGUUAAUAAUAACGAAACUAAUACCAUUGGACAUAGACAAUAUGAUCCAGAAGAAAAACAGGAAAAGACGAGGAAUUGGGCCAAAAAAGAUGGAGGAUCCGAUUUUUCUGCUUCAAACUUGAGGCAGGUGAAUGCUGUUAAUAAUAAUGAAACUAAUACCGUCGGAAAUAGACAAUAUGAUCCAGAAGAAAAACCGGAAAAGACGAGGAAUUGGGCCAAGAAAGACGGAGGAGGAUCUGAUUUGUCUGCUUCAAACUCGAGGCCAGUGAAUGCUGUUAAUAAUAACGAAACUAAUACCAUUGGAUAUAGACAAUAUGAUCCAGAGCCUCCCACUGAUGCGAAUAUCAAUGCAAUACUUGAGGAGGAAGAGGCUCUAAUUGCUGCUCACAGAAAAGAAAUUGAGGACACAAUGGAGAUUGUUCGUGAAGAAAUGAAGCUUCUGGCUGAGGUGGAACAACCAGGCAGCCACAUUGACAAUUAUGUGACCCAGCUGAGCUUCGUUCUUUCACGCAAGGCUGCUAGUCUGGUGAGUCUUCAAGCUCGCCUUGCCCGGUUCCAGCAUCGACUGAAAGAGCAGGAGAUACUGAGUCGGAAAAGAGUUCCUCGUUGAUGCCAGCUCUUUGUUCUCUGCUUUCAUUGCUGCAUCAGACUCUGUCCAGUAAUUUCCUCUCCUAUAGAUUAUUAUGUUCUUGCAGUCGAUGCACGGAGCUGCAUUAGGGUCUUGAGAGGAAAUUCAGCAGUGUGCAAAGAUCCCGGUCCUAUUUCCCCCAGCAUCAAAUGUUGCAGAUCGCGUUUCCUUCAAACGCAAUGGCAAAGAUAAUUCAGGUGCAGAUACUUGUGUGAUGCUUGAUUUAUGAAAAUGUGUAUUGUUUUAGAUGAAUCUGAUAAUGUUCUGGUUGAAGAUUGAAUGGUUUUGGUGGCCUUCUGUUGUUUAAAGGGCGACAAGAAAAUGCUUUCUUUGAAAUCAUUUCUAGGAAAUGAGAGAGAAAAAAAAAAAGAAGGGAAAAUAAGGUUUUUGUUUUUCCCCUUUGUUUAUUCUGUAGUUUUGAAACUAUAUAUAUUCUGUUUUCUCACCUCAAAAAGCACCUUGUGAAUGUUAUAUAGACCCAGUAGUAUGUAGUAGUGUCCUUUUCAAGUAUUUUGUUAUGUCAUAAUCGUAUUUUAAGGUAUUUUAUAUUUGUAUUAUAUUUUAUACAUUAAUAAUUUGUAUUUAUAUAUAUGUGAAAACAUUCGUGCA